AAAAAUAAAAAUCUUCUUAGGAGUACUAUAAAUACGAAACCUUAACCCUUCAAAAUUCAUAGAGGAAAUAUGGCUUCAGGAAACAAAGUUGGUGUAAUGUAUCUUCUCAUUUUGUGCAGUGUAAUUCUACUAAGCAUCAAUCCAACAACUGUGAGCGCAAGAACAAUAUGCCCACUUUAUCCAUGCAUGGCAAGUACAAGUGGGUAUAUGAUCUGUCCAUCUUCAGGCAGUACGCAACUUAAUCCGCCCUGCAAUUGCUGCUAUGCUCCGAAGGGCUGCACCAUUUACUAUGCUUCUGGAACUUCAAUGUGUACUGCCACUUGAAAGGAUCGAUGGACAUGCGAUGUUAAACAUGUUUGCUAGUACUCACAUUUGGUUUGCGAAAUAAAGUUGUAUGUGUGUGUUGUUACAUAUAGACAAUGAAUUGUAUUGUCUUAUCAUCCUAUUUGUAUUUGUAUUUCCUAUAUUGCAUUUGUACCUCUACAAUAUCAUGUCUUUCAUAUAUAUAGACCCUUUUGUACUCUAUCACUAUGUGUGCGAUCACUUUAAUUCAACGAGUGUUCUUUUUGCUUA